CAGUCCUUCAGUAAGCUUCUUACUCGAACAGCGCAUCUGCAACCUGCGGCUUCUCCAACUGUGUCACCUCCGCCUAAUGUACCUCCACCUAUAGUACAUAAGGCACCUACUAUCUCCCCUCCCCACAUUUUGAGGGUAAUAUUCAAGAAUGCCGGGGAUUCCUAAAUCAAAUUGACUACCAUUUUGAGACCUCACUGGGAUCUUUUCCCUCGGAUAGAGCUAAAAUUGGUUACCUGAUGAACCAACUUAAAGGUAAAACUUUAGUUUAGGCCAAUUCGUUAUGGGAGAGUAAUAGGAGCAUUGCACACAAUUACCAGGAAUUCCUUACGGAAUUUAAACUAACGUUUGAACCAUUAGGCAGGGAGGAUGACGCUUCCACUGCCUUAAUGCAUAUCAAACAAGGGAACCGCUCUAUCUCAGAUUAUGCCAUAGAAUUUUGUACCUGGG